rnacentral:rRNA from 1 species
ACCUUGUUUAAAUUAUAUUACUUGAGUAGUAGUUGUUAUGAUCUUGAAAUUUAUAGGAUUUGGCGGUAUCUAAGCCUAUUUAGAGGAACUUGUACUAUAAACGAUACUCCUCGUAUUAUCUUACCUUAUUUAGAAUGAUCAGUUUGUAUAUCGCUAUUACAAGUAAUUUUUUAGAAAUUUACUAAGAUAAAUCUAAUUUAAUAUCUUAAGUCAAGGUGCAGCUUAUAAUAAGGUAGUUAUGAGUUACAAUGCUAUAUAAGUAAACGAAUAAGUUUUUAAAAAGUUCUUUAAAGGUGGAUUUAAUAGUAGGUUAUAUUUAACAAGAUUAGCCGACACUAAAGCUCUAGAAG